rnacentral:rRNA from 1 species
GAUGAACGCUGGCGGCGUGCCUAAUACAUGCAAGUCGAGCGAAUGGAUUGAGAGCUUGCUCUUAUGAAGUUAGCGGCGGACGGGUGAGUAACACGUGGGUAACCUGCCCAUAAGACUGGGAUAACUCCGGUAAACCGGGGCUAAUACCGGAUAACAUUUUGAACCGCAUGGUUCGAAAGUGAAAGGCGGCUCCGGCUGUCACUUAUGGAUGGACCCGCGUCGCAUUAGCUAGUUAGUGAGGGAACGGCUCACCAAGGCGACGAUGCGUAGCCGGCCUGAGAGGGUGAUCGGCCACACUGGGACUGAGACACGGCCCAGACUCCUACGGGAGGCAGCAGUAGGGAAUCUUCCGCAAUGGACGAAAGUCUGACGGAGCAACGCCGCGUGAGUGAUGAAGGCUUUCGGGUCGUAAAACUCUGUUGUUAGGGAAGAACAAGUGCUAGUUGAAUAAGCUGGCACCUUGACGGUACCUAACCAGAAAGCCACGGCUAACUACGUGCCAGCCGCCGCCGUAA